CGAUUUCAGCCUCCUGUUCUUUAAUUUUACGCAUCAGAGCCUCUUUCUCAGCCUGCAGACCUACUAACACGCUGCUCAGCUGAUCUCCUGCCUAUAACAUACACAGAACAGAGGAACCCAAAGUUAAUAUUACACAGUGCAGCGGACUGAAUAAGGCGUAUUCCAGACUGUGAGAUAACCUUAAUGCUAUUGGCUAUUUGAAAAAGCUGUUCGAUCUCGGCUGCCAUCUGCUGUCGGGCGGUCAUGAGCUCUUCUUGAGUCUUCUGAGUGGUGCUCAGCUGCUUCAGCGUCUCUGCGUUCUGCAAUAAAGUAAAACACAAAUGAUCCCAUCAUUGUUGUAAUUAACGUCUGUCACGGUUAGUAUGAAUAGGAACGUUUUUUCACCUUCCGCAUAAGGUCAGCGUGUCUGCUGACCAGCUCAGCAUGUUUCUCCUUCAGUCUGGUGAAAUUCAUUUGAG